GUGACAUUUGAAAGGGGGGGUAGAUGUAGCCAGUGGGACUUUAGGACCCAGGAGCGAGUGGCAAGGGCUUAAAGGCUGAGGUGCCCAUAGGGGCGGGUUCUUGUGUUUUCAGUCAGCUGCUUAGCCAGGGAAACGGAGCGGAGUGGAACCGCGAUUACAGAUGAGUGUUGGUGGCCAGUGUGCUGGCGUUCCGUGUGUUGAAGGGUUUGUGUGCAGUCACCAGUAGUUGAAUCACGGAAGCGUCUCUGGGUUUAACGCCGAAGGGGCGUGUAAAUAGAACGAAUCUCGAUAUCCGCUGGGAACUCUCUCUAACUCUCACGGCCAGACUGUGCUGGUGUUACAGGGUGUGUGUAUAAUUGCUGCCGUGUGCUAGGGUGGAUGGCCUAGCCAAACCCGUUGUUAUACCAGGUCCCGUGCGCUCCGUCAUACGUGUGCACUGGCUUCUGUGCGAUCCGGCGUCUGUGUGUGUCUGUUCACACGAGGUUAUUAGAAGCGUUUUGUGAAUGAACCCCAUCUCUCGUCUUGUUUACUUUGUUUGGACAUCCAGCCACUGUUUUCUCAUGUAUGAAACUUAUGUAUGUUUUUAUCAUUCAUUGAUAUCAUGCCUAUGAACUUAUAUGGUUAAUGUCAAGCUCUUCCGGUCAUUAAUCUUUUACCAUUGAGAUAAAUUGUUGUUAGCACUCACGCACUUUACUUGUUCUCAAAUUUAAGUGGCCAUUGCUUGGGUUCUCGUAGCUAGUUGGCAGAGCUCAAUGCUCAAUGUAUUAAGGUGACCACUGUGUGGUGUGAUUAGAGUUUGUGUGUACUAACAAAGCACUUUAUGGUUAAUGCAGUGUAGCCUUGGUUGCUGUCUUUGGUGUGCUGAAUCCAUUUGGAGCCUUGUGCUCAUGAUGAACUAAAUGCGGAUUUCCUGUCAACAUUGAGUACUGUGGUCCGGCCCAAUAUUUAGUGUAAAUCUCUCCUAUGAAGGCUUGUCUACGAGAACUCAUGUAUGUGUCUAUGAUGUAUUACUACCAUUAAUGUUGUUACUGUACGAAGCACCUAUUUUAAUAACUCUGCAGACCAUAAAUAAAUUGUCUACAUUGCUUUUGCUA